rnacentral:rRNA from 1 species
UAGGGAAUCUUCCGCAAUGGACGAAAGUCUGACGGAGCAACGCCGCGUGAGUGAUGAAGGUUUUCGGAUCGUAAAACUCUGUUGUUAGGGAAGAACAAGUAUCGGAGUAACUGCCGGUACCUUGACGGUACCUAACCAGCAAGCCACGGCUAACUACGUGCCAGCAGCCGCGGUAAUACGUAGGUGGCAAGCGUUGUCCGGAAUUAUUGGGCGUAAAGCGCGCGCAGGUGGUUCUUUAAGUCUGAUGUGAAAGCCCACGGCUCAACCGUGGAGGGUCAUUGGAAACUGGGGAACUUGAGUGCAGAAGAGGAAAGUGGAAUUCCAAGUGUAGCGGUGAAAUGCGUAGAGAUUUGGAGGAACACCAGUGGCGAAGGCGACUUUCUGGUCUGUAACUGACACUGAGGCGCGAAAGCGUGGGGAGCGAACAGG